AAUAUCGUUUGCUUUGGGCGCCAAAAUGAAGACUUAGCACAGCAGUCACUGCCAGUCAGUCAGAAGAACUCUCUCAGACGGACACCACGUUAUUAAAGACCAUCAUCCUUGCACACACUCAAAAGCAUUGAUAAAUGCUGAAUUUAAAAGAAUCACUACUGUCUUAUGUUCCUGUGUCACCUGGACCUCCAAUCCAAAAACCUGAUGAAACUCUUCUAUCAGAAAGGAGGACAGCUAGCAAAAAGACUUCAAACAAUCAAUGAUCAAAUGACAGAAGGCAUGGAUGAAGUCAGCAUCAGUGAGGUCAUUUGAAGACACCAAUGUUGGGAUUUGUGCUCUCAAACAACAUGCUUCUUGUGAUGAAGAAGAGGAUCUUUGUAUAGUCCUGGAAGCCAUGAAGGUGUUGCAACAUCGUGUUUGAGCUGAUGUAUGCCUUAAACCUGAUCUCCGCUUUAUUUUUGAGGAAAUCCAAACUGCAUUGAGAGUAACUUUAACGAACAGUUUCUUUCAGUGAAAUGAUCAGAAAGACUGUGCUGCUCAUUUUUGAAUUUUUUAUCUGUUUUAAGUGUUUUCUCUUAUUAAUACAUUAACAGUUUGCUGCUCAGUCUCGAUUUUGGAAAUGGUUGUUGUAUUUUGUUUUUGUUGAAUCUUUGAUUUAACAGUUUAUAAAUGCUGUAGCUCUGACUUUCUGAAGGAGUGAUAUUUUCCAGUUUGUAAAUCCAUUUUAUAAAUAAUAGUACUUACUGUUUUGCAUGUCUCUUUGGAAUGCAGUGUUUGUGCUUUAGCACUUCUAAAUCUACUGUGAUAGUAACUAUUUUAAACAUUUGGGUCAGUUUCACAGAUGGGGCUUUUCCUAGUCCCAGACUUUUGCAAUGCCAUAUAUCAGUGCCAUUGUUUUGUCUCAAGAUGUACUCCAGUGUUGUUUUUGUAAGGUAGGUUUGUUUGUAAACUUUAUUUUAUUAAAAAUAUCCUAAUAUAACUAGGGCCUAGUCAUGGAUUAAUCUACAACCUGUUUGGGAAAUUGCCCCUUUAUGUAUGUACUGCAUGUGCUGAUUGUUGUAAUAGUUAUUGACUGUUAUUGAAUUAAUGUGUAGUGAUUUAAAUGAAUUGAUGAUCUGAAAGCAGGGGUUUGCCUCAAUAUCACUAAACAUUUGUACAAAACUCUUUGCUUUUUAUGCCAAUGCAAAUGUAUUUUGUAUUUAAAAAAAAUAAAUAACAUUU